rnacentral:lncRNA from 1 species
UAAUGAAUAAAUGAAUAUCAGGAAAGCAGUGAUUGAAAAAACUUUUGAAAUACAAAUUAUGUUAUCUUUGAAUUUGGUUCCCAAUGUAGUAAUUAGAUUUAAUUUUGUCAUUGGACUGUUACAUACACUUUUAAAAUAUAGCUGUAAAUUAAAUGUGUCAAUAUUACAUAAGCAAUAUGAAAAAGAAGUGAAUAAAAUUACAAAAUUAUCAUAGCAGGUGCAUAUAACCAUAAUUCAUGUAAACAGUUCAGUCCCAUUUUUAACAAUGUUAACACUCUAGUGACAUCAAACCAACUGGUCUAUUUACAAACAUGUAAUAUGCAAAUAUAUUAGUAUAAACAAGGGCGACAUAAAAAAAAAGUACUACAGAAAGGUUUCACUUCAUUUCUAAGGAUCGGCGUUAAAACAGUUAAGAACCAUAUCUCAUAAACAGCAACAGUGAAACUAAUUAAAUCAAGCUUUGUCCUUUGUAUUGUUAACAACACAUCAAUAUCAAAUUCAAUGUUAGAACUGUUCUCAAGUUACACGUUACAAGGAAACGAAAUAAAGUGUCAUUUUGAAAAAUCAUGAAAUUGAGAACUACAAUAUAAAAAAGAUAACUAUAUAUAUAUUUUAGAGAUGAGACAUGAGCA